GCAGAAUAAUAUUUUGAUUAAAAAAAGGUCCAAAAUAAUAUAAAACCAUUAUUAAAAAGAGAGGAAAUAAUAAAUGGCUACAAACAAGAAUUAAAUAUCAAAUAUGUGGGUUUUAUAUUGUUCUCUUUAUUGAUAAAACAGUCGAGAGUUUUUCUAAUAAAGAAAUCGGCAGUCUCUGUUGGCUGUCUAAGGAUUUGUAUUAGAGAGUUUUUUUGAUAGUUUUU
rnacentral:lncRNA from 1 species